ensembl:lncRNA
GUGGGGGCUUAAAAGAACCUAAUUUCUGCACCUAAUAGGUAAAUGCACAAACAAUUGCUCUUCAAAGGUUAUUGUGUUUCUUGUGUCUUCUCUGCUUCUGGUCACAGCCGUUGGCAAAGUUCUUGUCUUCCGUGUUCCUUUUUCUCCAUUUCUAGUGAUUCUGUAGUUUGUAGCUUAGAUUGUUUCUCCACCAGUUCCUAACAUGCAGCUAGAUGAAGCAUUCCAGUUCCCUUGGCAGUCUAAUUACUGACCUUGUGUUCAUGUUGCAACUCAUUCAUAAAAUGCUUUAGAUAUAUUACAGACAUUUUUGGUCCACGUUCUUAGCUGGUGUCAAAUGAAGUACUAAGGAGAUUAAAAAUAAAAAUGUGAUAUGUCCUUGGCAAUAUUAUUUACUUGUGUGAAAAGGAAAGGACACCGAGUAAGCCUUCAGCAGAAUGAAUGAGAAUAUAUUAAUAUUAAUCCUGAAAUGGUUAUUGUCUUAGACUUUUCUAGCAUGCAGAUCUGAAUUCAUGAAGUUAACGCUUAUUUUCAUUUGCCUUCCCUCUCUUGUUUGUUUUGUAUUAGUAAAUUGGACUUUGUUUGUUCUCUUGUAGUUAAUACUUGGGAUGUUCUGAAGACUUGAUACACAGUCCUUCCAGUGGCACAUAAGACAACUGACGACAGCAGCAGCACAGUUGGGCAUGAAGGUUUUAUGCCUAUGUCUGUUCAGAAAUGCCCUUUCAGUUAUGUACUCCCAUAAACUGAAUCAGCAUAUAAAUCUGCACGCUAUGCAAUAGAUGUAUAUGUAGCGGAGGCGCUGGGAUCCAACUCAGGAUAAUGGUGAGUCGAAUUCAGUCACGUCAGAUGUUGGACUUGGGAAAGCGCCUAUUAAGGACGGCAGUGCCAGCUGGGGAAGGUCUUGCAUCUGGCUAUGUGCUCCUGUCACCAAAGCCACUCCUAAGGCUGCACCAGGGCAGCAGUUUGCAGGGUGAUUGAAUGAACCACAUAUAGCACUGGGGAGAAAUGGAAAUCUUUUUUAAGGUCACCAGUAAUAUCACAGAGACAACACCCAGGCUGUGUGAAGACUCAUGAUUUCUGAUGAUGAUAAUAUCCCAAUGGUGGUCGGAAACAUCUAUUUGGUGUGGAUGAUGAUAACUUAUGUUCUAAUGAGUCUAGUCACUCUCAGUGCUUGUCAUUGCCCAUUUGGGGUGGAAUUCUGCUCUGUAUUGCACUAGAAAUCUUUAAAAUUCUGUCUGAAUAUUUCGGUCUGUUUUCUAUCUAUUUUCUUCACUAUUCACUUAAGAAAAAAAAGUCAUCAUUAGAAAGAACCUUUUUUUUUUUGGCAUUUCUUGCUCGCAUGCAAUUUCUUUUUCGCAUGCAUUUCUUGUUUGCACACAAUAGAUGGAGAACUUCAUGGAUAACUGCU